rnacentral:misc_RNA from 1 species
GAAGAUAGUAUCAAUAGCCCUUCUCCGAUUCUUCCGCUUUAAAUUGGCUGAUGACACCAAAAAAGCAACUUAUAGGACUAUGUUCACACUUCACAUUGAUGGUGGUCUCCAUCUUCGUGCAAUACCGAGGACACGCUUAUAAAUGUUUGAAUAUAUGAAGCAAAUAAUCAUCACAUAAGGUGAACUUUAGCAAAAUGAAAGUCGCACUUAUACUUCUUUAUAUAUACAUGUAUAUAUAUAA